UGUUAUUUUUUUUUCUUCUCUCUUACCUCUUACGCUGACCGUGCACAUACACACGCAUAGACAAUGUGUAUUCAUUAUCUCUUUGGAAUUGAAUAUAGAAUGCGCAAUAAAGCACUUUUGUCGAAACAAAGGCGAAUGAAGUAAAAAAGACAAGAGCGCGCGAAACAAGAGACGCUUUAGCGAACAUGCUCGGAACGGAGAGCGCGAACAAGUGGAAUUGUUGAUGGAAACAGAAUAUGUGAAUUAUAUUUAAUGUAGAUAUAUGUUGUGUGUCUGUGUAAUUCGUAUUUUCUUAUUUCAAUAGCUGUGUUCGCAUUCCAUUUCCAUUUCGUUUGGUGAGAAGUUCAAUUAGCUAAAUGAAAAUCAUAUGAGUUCAUACUCGGUUGGCACGCACGCAUAACAUACAAAUUUAGAGCACCACGAAUGGCACGGCGAGAUAUAGUAAAGAUCGUAACAGCAACCAAACCAAAGUAAAUACAAAAGUGUGUAUGUUUGAGUUCACGCCACGGAUACCAUAUGCGGAUCAGAUCGUUCCAUUGACGGCAAUCAUAGCCGUCUCACUUAGCCGAGGGUUUUUGCUGUGAAUCAUCCAUUCAUUCAUUCACAGGCUGAUUACAAUUGAAACGCAUAAAAGCGGACGGAGAGUGUUUUGUUGUUUUGCAACCAACAAUGAGCAUCAUUAUUUCGGAUUGCAGACGAGCGCGACGAUAUACACACCGAAUAAGGGAGCGAAAAUACAAUGGAAACCGUUUGCCAAAACGAUCACCAUCUAGAUCGACACACUGAAUAGCGUUGAGAUUAAUAUAACGGCAAUCAUACAUUCAUGCACGCACAUUUUUCGGGUUUUUUUUCUCGUUUUGUUUCGAUUCCAUUAAAUGAGGGCGUGUCUGUUUCUCCCAUAUUACAUGUUAUGUGACGGGUAAACAUUAGAAAUAGCAAGGAACUUACUACCGCUACAUUUCGUCCUUCGUAAAUUCCAUUUCGGAUCAAAUUAAAUGUUUUUUUUUUCUAAACCGUUUAAGUACAUUUAAAUUAUCGGAAGUACUCGGAAUUCAUAUAUGUUUGGAAGAAUGAGAAAAAAACUCAAUUGCCGUCACAAUCACUGAAUAAGCGAGAGAAAAACAAUGCAAAAUAAAAGAAAUGGUACAACACAAAUGUUUUGCGUUCAAUUUGUGUGAGAAUGAACGAGUGAUAAAAACAUUUGCCUACCAAAAAUGGCAAUUCAAUGGAGAGAUUUUUUUUUGCGAACUCAGCAUCAAUUACUCGAGAGUAUGUUUUGUGCAAAAGAAUAGAACGACAACAGCAUGUAAUAAGAAAAACCAACCGAGUCACAAAAUUUACGUGAAUUGUGUGUGUGUAUAUGUGCCUAUGAAACAAGGAAUACCUGCGCCAGCCAACAAUUCUCAGAAACAUACAAUUUUGCCUCUUCGCAUACAAAAACCGAAAGAGAUUAACUUUGUUUCUUCUCUCUGAUCUGUUUUUUUUUGUUGUUGUUGUUGCUUCACAUAUUUAUCUCUUGUCCAUUUACCAGAGAGCCCAUAAGAAACGAGCGGCCGAUAGAGAAAGUAACAUAAUAAUAAAAAAAAAAUCAUAAACAACAUCAAUUGCUCCGUAGACAUGACAUAGCCAAAAAAUUCUCAGUAUGGAUCAAAAAGUGUUUUUCGAGAGUAUUGUUCAAAGUAAACACCGAUAGUCGUUCUGUAUACACACACACACACCGUUUCUUUCCCUUCUGACAACAUGGUUCUUUGCUUUGCCUUUUCUUCCCCUUAAUUUAUAACCUACACUCCUUGUAGCAUUUUUCCUGUGAAGUGGCCAACCAUUUAAAAACACAACAUUCUCACACAAACAUGCAUAGCGACGCGCACAGAACACAAGGCGAGAAAUGCAUUAGUCAACAACAUUAAAUGAAGAAGAAGAAAACAAGGAAGAAACGAUAUAUGCUGGAAAUUUCGCCGCUUCCAAUGAUUCAACAAGUACACACUGAUGAGCCAUAGUUCAAAAGCCAUUCACGCAUUCAACACCGAGAAUGGAUCGUUUGAAUUUCAUUUCAUUUAUGAUUCAAACGCUCAUAAUUGACUCGCAACUCAUUAAAAAAUUGUUUCCAAUAACUUUCACACUUUAGAGAAACGGACGACCGAUCUCAUUAAAUGCCUAUGUUGCUCAUGGUGGUUUUUCAUCUUUCACUCAUUUCUCCUUCUCUUUUUGUUUAUUCAAUUUGAAAUGAUUAUAAAAAUAUGUAUGAAAAAGAGCAUAUUUAUGGGCUACAGAAUAAUGAUCAAGAGCAAUGUUUAUACCCAUUGGUCCAAAUGCUAAAUAAAUUAUUAAGCAGAAAAUUAGAGGUUCGUGCGAAUGAUCUUGCAAACACAGCGCGCGUGUUUGUGUACACUAUACACAAAAACUGUAAAUGAUUAAUCAUGACAUUUUCACAGAAUUCACGAUUAUUUUUAUUUUGCUUUGUCCUCCCUUUCUUUUUUUUCUCCCUCUCUAUCUCUGUUCCAUCGCUCAUACUGAUCUGAACGACGCGGAAAAAAUUUAAUUUUUUUUCACGCAAACCAAUUGAAAUUCGUAUGGAGACGGCGACAAAUGUAUGUUGGUUUUUUUUUUUGGUAUUCGAUACAUUCAUUUGGGAGCGUCAUGUAUACAAUCAUAUUCAACAUCUAAUAUCACAUAGUGAAAACAAAACAAAAAAACCAAAAUAUUGAAAACACGUACCAAU